ensembl:misc_RNA
GGUGCUCCUAGGUUUGGAAGUAUAAAUCCCAGGGGAAGUGAGCUGAAGAACAUUUCACACAUCACUCAUCCUAUUAUGAGCCCUGUACUGUUCCAUCUCUCUACAAGG